rnacentral:rRNA from 1 species
AUUGAACGCUGGCGGCAGGCCUAACACAUGCAAGUCGAGCGGAGCGGCGGACGGGUGAGUAAUGCCUAGGAAUCUGCCUGGUAGUGGGGGAUAACGUCCGGAAACGGGCGCUAAUACCGCAUACUAUCAGAUGAGCCUAGGUCGGAUUAGCUAGUUGGUGGGGAAAAGGCCUACCAAGGCGACGAUCCGUACCGGGUCUGAGAGGAUGAUCAGUCACACGGGAACUGAGACACGGUCCAGACUCCUACUGGAGGCAGCAUUGGGGAAUCUUGGACAAUGGGCGAAAGCCUUAUCCAGCCAGGCCGCGUGUGUGAAGAAGGUCUUCGGGUUUUAAAGCUCUUUAAGUUGAGAGGCGUUACCAACAGAAUAAGCACCGGCUAACUUCGUGCCAGCAGCCGCGGUAAUUC